rnacentral:lncRNA from 1 species
CAUUUUGUAUUUUUUUAUAGACUAAAACAUUUUCAUAUUUUUUUAAGAAUUAUGAAUCAAACACCAAUUAAAAUGUAACUUUAUAAACAUUUUGUAUUUUUUUAUAGACUAAAACAUUUUCAUAUUUUUUUAAGAAUUAUGAAUCAAACACCAAUUAAAAUGUAACUUUAACUGUGGAAUCCAAGUGCACCUUCAGUAAGUAAAAAAAAACAUAUCAUGCUCUUCAAUUGAUUUAUACAGCAUCUCAUUUUCUCUUGUUCUCAAAUUGGACCCCUCAACCAAUCAUCCAUCGACACCUGGCCAAAUACAAAUAUUAAAUAAUGCAAAAUUAAUAGAAACAAAUAUUUCCUCAAAUAUGCAUGUGAUGGAAAAAGGGGAUUUUUUUUUAAAAAUAAUCAUGUUUUUUAAAAAAAAUACGAAAAUAAUCAACUUUUCAAAAAAAAAUCCAAAAUAACCAUGUUUGGGGAGGAUGCGCCGGGGGAGUUGGCGCACCCCCCAAAAAAUAAGAGGAGGCGCCAGAUGCAUUGGGCAAUAUGAAGAGGCGCCAAUGCUUGUGGCGCCUCUACAUGGCCCUCCAAGAGAAAGGGCCAAUACUGGCGCCUAUGUGUCUCUUUUGAAAAGAAAAUUUAAUUUUCCAGACAACAAGAAUCAAACACACAACCUUUGGAUCAAUAGUGAAACACGUUACCAUUGCACCACAAACCCUUCAUGUUAAUUUGUUUCAUCAUAUAUUUAAUAUACCGUGUAUAAUUACUUAAAAGGAGAUAUCCUAAUUUUUAAACUAAUUAAUUUCAAAUUAACCCAAUUAUUCCCAAUUAUGCUAAUUAAUUACUAAUUUAAAUUAUACUUAAUUAAACAUUUUGUAUUUUUUUAUAGACUAAAACAUUUUCAUAUUUUUUUAAGAAUUAUGAAUCAAACACCAAUUAAAAUGUAACUUUAUAAACAUUUUGUAUUUUUUUAUAGACUAAAACAUUUUCAUAUUUUUUUAAGAAUUAUGAAUCAAACACCAAUUAAAAUGUAACUUUAACUGUGGAAUCCAAGUGCACCUUCAGUAAGUAAAAAAAAAAACAUAUCAUGCUCUUCAAUUGAUUUAUACAGCAUCUCAUUUUCUCUUGUUCUCAAAUUGGACCCCUCAACCAAUCAUCCAUCGAC